AGCAGUAGCCGCGGGAAUACGUAGGGUGCAAGCGUUAAUCGGAAUUACUGGGCGUAAAGCGUGCGCAGGCGGUUAUAUAAGACAGAUGUGAAAUCCCCGGGCUCAACCUGGGAACUGCAUUUGUGACUGUAUAGCUAGAGUACGGCAGAGGGGGAUGGAAUUCCGCGUGUAGCAGUGAAAUGCGUAGAUAUGCGGAGGAACACCGAUGGCGAAGGCAAUCCCCUGGGCCUGUACUGACGCUCAUGCACGAAAGCGUGGGGAGCAAACAGGAUUAGAUACCCGUGUAGUCCCUGUCUCUUAUAC
rnacentral:rRNA from 1 species